GGAUAGCUCAGUUGGUUAGAGCAUGGUGCUGAUAAUGCCAAGACUGCGGGUUCGAUCCAUCCCUGUGUGGGACA